rnacentral:rRNA from 1 species
UACGUAGGGGGCAAGCGUUGUCCGGAAUCAUUGGGCGUAAAGCGCGUGUAGGCGGCUCGAUAAGUCUGCUGUGAAAGUUCAGGGCUCAACCCUGAAAUGCCGGUGGAAACUGUCGGGCUAGAGUCCGGAAGAGGCGAGUGGAAUUCCUGGUGUAGCGGUGAAAUGCGCAGAUAUCAGGAGGAACACCAAUGGCGAAGGCAGCUCGCUGGGACGGUACUGACGCUGAGACGCGAAAGCGUGGGGAGCGAACCGG